GGGUCUGUAGCCUAGUUGGUAAAGGAAGCACUCUUGUAUGUGACUGAGCAUUGCUGAGGUUGUGAGUUCAAAUCUCACCAGGCACA
rnacentral:tRNA from 2 species